UGCUCCUUGGUGUGCAGGGCCGGCCGCAGCCAGCGGCAGCACAGCUCCCGGAGCCGGCUCAGGGACGCCCUCGGCCCCAUGUCCUCCUGAUACUGGAAGCAUCUGAAGAGCUGGCAACGGCUCGGACGGCAGGACAGCCCCAAACGCGAAAAGGCAGAGAAAACCGACGGUUCCGUGUCUUCACUCCUUCCUGCAGCAUUUCGAAUUUCACGUCACUUCACCCCAGUGAUCAAAAGUGGCAUCUCUGAGACAGGACCGCCUGGUUUCCCCGCCUCCUGAGGUCCCAGGGAGGACACGGCACCGCCAAAGAGGGGUUCUUGGCAGAAACGUUCCAUCGCAACGCGAUCCGGCCUUUAGACCCCACUUUGCACUGCAGAAAUAAGAGUGAGUGGGAGGCGGGGGGGGGUGGGGGCGCAGUGGAUGAGAGCGAUGGUGUUUAAGGGGACAAAUUUGUAACUCAUAGUGAAUAACCCAUAGAGAUCUAAUGCACAGUAGAAUGGAUAUAGACAAUACUACUGCGGGGUAAUUAUGUAGUUCGAUAAAUACCACUGCCUCAGCAGUCGUAUUAUAAUAUACAAACGUAUCGAAGUAACAGGCUGUACGCCUUUCACUGACACAAUGUCACACGUCAGAUUUAUUCAAUUAAAAGAAAAAAAAAAAGAACAAGUGAAAUGAUCCCUCAAGGAAACAAUGGAACGAAUUACAAAUGCAGAAUAUUUCUGG